GAGGAUAUAGCUCAGUGGUAGAGUAUUUGCAAGAGGCCCUAGGUUCAAAUCCUAGCUCU
rnacentral:tRNA from 1 species